rnacentral:RNase_P_RNA from 1 species
UGAGAUAGACGGUGGAUCGCUGUACAAUUUGUUGUAUAGAGGAAAGUCCGAGCACCUCAUUGGUCAGGAUGCCUGUUAACGACAGGGCGGGGUGACCCGACGGAAAGUGCAACAGAAAAAAAACCGCCGAAGUUUUUCGGUAAGGGUGA